UACAGAGGGGGCUAGCGUUGUUCGGAAUUACUGGGCGUAAAGGGCGCGUAGGUGGCCCGGUCAGUUCGUGGUGAAAGCGCGGGGCUCAACCCUGCGUCGGCCAUGAAUACUGCCGCGGCUGGAGCACUGUAGAGGCAGGCGGAAUUCCGGGUGUAGCGGUGGAAUGCGUAGAGAUCCGGAAGAACACCGGUGGCGAAGGCGGCCCGCUGGGCAGGAAGACGGAGCAAUCCGUCGGCUGACGCUGAGGCGCGACAGCGUGGGGAGCAAACAGGG
rnacentral:rRNA from 1 species